rnacentral:ncRNA from 14 species
GUGCUUGUAGCUCAAUUGGAUAGAGCACCAAACUACGGAUUUGGGGGUUGAGAGUUCAAAUCUUUCCAAGCAUG